UACGAAGGGUGCAAGCGUUAAUCGGAAUUACUGGGCGUAAAGGGUGCGUAGGCGGUUCGUUAAGUCUGUCGUGAAAUCCCCGGGCUCAACCUGGGAAUGGCGAUGGAUACUGGCGAGCUAGAGUGUGUCAGAGGAUGGUGGAAUUCACGGUGUAGCGGUGAAAUGCGUAGAGAUCGGGAGGAACAUCAGUGGCGAAGGCGGCCAUCUGGGACAACACUGACGCUGAAGCACGAAAGCGUGGGGAGCAAACAGG
rnacentral:rRNA from 1 species